CAGAGCUUGCUAUAUAGCAGGGGACAUGCAAAUAGGGCCCUCCCUCUGCUCAUGAAAACCAGCCCAGCCCUCACCCUGCAGCUCUGGGAGAGGAGCCCCAGCCCCGGCAUUCCCAGGUGUCCCCAUUCGGUGAUCAGGACUGAACACAGAGACUCACCAUGGAGUCUGGGCUGAGCUGGGUUUUCCUUGUUGCUCUGUUACAAGGUGUCCAGUGUGAGGUGCAGCUGGUGGAGUCUGGGGGAGGCCUGGUCCAGCCUGGGGGAUCCCUGAGACUCUCCUGUGCAGCCUCCGGAUUCACCUUCAGUGACUACUACAUGCACUGGGUCCGCCAGGCUCCAGGGAAGGGGCUGGAGUGGGUCUCGUACAUUUAUAGUGAUGGUGGUGACACAAACCACGCAGAUGCCGUGAAGGGCCGGUUCACCACCUCCACAGACAAUGGGAAGAACAUGCUGUAUCUGCAAAUGAACAGUCUGAGAGCCGAGGACACGGCCGUGUACUACUGUGCGAGAGACACAGUGAGGGGACAUCAACGGUUCCUCCUCCUCACUGUUCUGCCAAAGCUCCUGGUCUCCCUGGACAUCUAG